rnacentral:lncRNA from 10 species
AGGCACCCUUGAUUGAACACUCCCCAAGGGCCAGCCAUUAUUAACAUAUCACCAACUGUAUGCCUUGUUGAUGUUAACAUAUCAACAAUCUGCAACUUCCUCUUACAGAUGAGGAAAGCAAGAAUCAAUGGCAUUAGUCAGCUCGCCCAAGGUCACUAUGUUAGAAAGUGGCAGAGCUGGGGAUUGUCGUGUUUACCAGGAUUGAGUUACAAUGAGUCACAAAACCCACGUCAUCCCCACAGACAUUGAUGCACAUUCUGCAUUUUGCCCCCACAGUGGUACCUUCUGUACAAAAGGCAGCCCGACUACGUAUGCUGUAGUCAGGGGGACGCACUAGGGGGGUGGGGGGUCAACACCAAUGGAGGAGGGAAGGAAGAAGCCCUGAUCUUCCCAGAAGGAAGAAAUAAAAAGUUACCUGAAGCCUUCAAUUUCAAGACUGCCCUCGGCCAGUUUUGCCACAUGAUCAGAGACUUAUUUAUAGCCAUCCGAAUCCUGAC